ACAUGCCUCCUCAAGCCACGCGACUCACCAAUCACACCAUCAAAGAGCUGGAUUUCCUCAUGUAACCCACUGGUAAAACAGCCGACACACAAAUUGAAACCGGUUUGCACUUCUGAUAUGACAACAUCUACUGUCGCUUCAAAUGCGUAGUCAAGACACGCUCGAGUUAUGUCUACCGCGCCGUAAUCUCCAUGAAUGCGAUUUAUCACUGGAUUGCUUGAUGUCAGUAUUUCGUUAACACAUGAUACACCAUCAAUCAGCUGUAGAUCAUUCUCAUCUCGUUCUCCUGUCUUGAUCCUCAUGUCAUAUUCAACUAGAACAGCACGAGACAAAUCGAUCCCUCUCUUAGGGCCAAUUUCGAUGAUGGAACCCUACAAAAUAAUUAUUUAGUACCUCUUCGUAGCAGAGUAAGAAGUACCUAACGGCCCUAUCGUUUCGCUGAAUGGGGGAAUAAGCCAAACAACAUAUUUGCAAACGAAAAAUAAUUUGUAAAGAAAACUUUUUUAUAUGUAUUCUUAACUAUCUAAAAGCAAAGGCUGGAAAAUAAACUUCGAUGGAAAAAAAAACCCAAAAUCAACUCCAAAUUUAAGGUUGAAAAUUCAAAUUUUGGCUGAUAAGCAUAAGUAUAAGUGAAAAGAUGAGGUUGUAAAGCUAAAUACUUACUUUGUGGCAUUUCAGUCACAACAAUACCUAGCUCAAGGGAUUAUUUUACAGUUGAUGCCCAAGAUGCUUGUCACGUAUCAAACAUAAUGGUUAUGAAGGGUCAAGAGUGUAAGAGUGCCAAAGAAGAAAUGUUUGUCCAGCGUUACUUAUUUGAGUUAUUUUUGAAUUCCAAAAUAUUAAUCAUAUAGGCUUGUGUGAAAUGUAAACAGAAAAGGACUUUGUUGUGAUGGGGUCAUUCAUAUGUCUAUAGACAAUUAAAAAAAACAAUUUUGCACGGUUCUAAGCAGAAACCAAAGGUAGUGGCCUGUCUGUUUUGAUUCAGAAAAGAAAACAGUCACAUAAGGAAUAUAUAUGGCACAACCACCAUAGACUAACCCUAUUUCAAAUGAUUAAAGAAAAGAUUGCAAACUGAGCCUACACUAUCAAUUAAGAGCGCAGUUAAUACAACAUUUCCACCCUAUCCUAAAUUCAGUAAUGUAAAAGAGGCUGGAAGAUACCAACAAAAGCUCUAAUCACAUUUGUUCCGUGCAUGUUAUAAGUUUGGCCUUAUACUGUGAAACAGAUAAAAUAAUUUGAAGUAAUUGUAUAAACAUACGGGAAUGUACCUGCUCCACAAUUAUGGGAUUAUCUCUGCCAAUAUUGACAAUAUAAUUAAGUAAUGGGUCCCGAAGAUCCCGUGCCGCAAUGUAUCCAUACAACUCCAUUGAGCCAUCAACCCCAAAAACUUUAGCCAACUUUAUUGAGAAAAUUUGCAACAUGGAAUGUUGAGUAUGCCUCGUGCAAGUUCCAUCACUCAGGCUGCAAUCUUUGUUGGAAUUUGAUAACAUCAUUGCCUCCAAUCGAGCUACAACAAA
rnacentral:sRNA from 1 species